rnacentral:rRNA from 1 species
AACGAACGCUGGCGGCAUGCCUAAUACAUGCAAGUCGAACGAGAUCUUCGAAUCUAGUGGCGCACGGGUGCGUAACGCGUGGGAAUCUGCCCUUGGGUUCGGAAUAACUUCUGGAAACGGAAGCUAAUACCGGAUGAUGACGUAAGUCCAAAGAUUUAUCGCCCAAGGAUGAGCCCGCGUAGGAUUAGCUAGUUGGUGGGGUAAAGGCCCACCAAGGCGACGAUCCUUAGCUGGUCUGAGAGGAUGAUCAGCCACACUGGGACCGAGACACGGCCCAGACUCCUACGGGAGGCAGCAGUAGGGAAUAUUGGACAAUGGGGGAAACCCUGAUCCAGCAAUGCCGCGUGAGUGAUGAAGGCCUUAGGGUUGUAAAGCUCUUUUACCCGGGAUGAUAAUGACAGUACCGGGAGAAUAAGCUCCGGCUAACUCCGUG